GAGCCUACAUUGAAAGAUUCUCGAAUUCCCGGCCAAUGUACCAAAUGAAAGACCCCCAAAGGGAGACCCUUACUCAGACACUCAAGUCCCGGGACAGCAGCGUACCCAAGAAGACACUGAGACCA
rnacentral:pre_miRNA from 7 species